CCUACGGGUGGCAGCAGUGAGGAAUAUUGGUCAAUGGACGAGAGUCUGAACCAGCCACGUCGCGUGAAGGAUGACUGCCCUAUGGGUUGUAAACUUCUUUUAUAAAGGAAUAAAACGAGGCACGUGUGCCUUUUUGCAUGUACUUUAUGAAUACGAAUAGGCUAACUACGUGCCAGCAGCCGCGGUAAUACGGAGGAUCCGAGCGUUAUCCGGAUUUAUUGGGUUUAAAGGGAGCGUAGAUGGGUUGUUAAGUCAGUUGUGAAAGUUUGCGGCUCAACCGUAAAAUUGCAAUUGAUACUGGCAGGCUUGAGUGCAGUUGAGGUAGGCGGAAUUCGUGGUGUAGCGGUGAAAUGCGUAGAUAUUACGAAGAACCCCGAUGGCGAAGGCAGCUUACUAGACUGUGACUGACAUUGAUGCUCGAAAGUGUGGGGAGCAAACAGGAUUAGAUACCCGAGUAGUC
rnacentral:rRNA from 1 species